UACGUAGGGUGCGAGCGUUAAUCGGAAUACUGGGCGUAAAGCGUGCGCAGGCGGUGAUGUAAGACAGAUGUGAAAUCCCCGGGCUCAACCUGGGAACUGCAUUUGUGACUGCAUCGCUGGAGUGCGGCAGAGGGGAUGGAAUUCCGCGUGUAGCAGUGAAAUGCGUAGAUAUGCGGAGGAACACCGAUGGCGAAGGCAAUCCCCUGGGCCUGCACUGACGCUCAUGCACGAAA
rnacentral:rRNA from 1 species